AUCCGCAGCAGGGGCAGGAAGCGCUCGGUGGUGAAGUAGCGCAGGGUCGGCUUCGGGGCGCGCAAAGCGGUGAGGAAGACCUGCGGCGGCGGGAGGAGAGCUGUGGCCACCGCUGCGCGCCGGAGGACGCACCGCCCCCACUCCUGGAGUCCAGCCCGGCGCUCACCUCCGCCACCUCCUCAGGGUUCUGCGCCGCCUCGCGAAAGACUUGCUUGCUGUGGGCGAGGUAUUGGUAGAAGCGGUGGAAGGUGUGGAUGUCCGUGCGGUCCAGCACCUCCUCUGGGCUGCCCAACACCUUCUCCAUGAAGGCGGUGUGCACUGGGCCGCACUCGAUCAGGCUCAAGCUGCUGGCCGGAGAGCAACGAGUGGGAGGGGGCGGACGCGAGCCAGGCCCCAGUCCCAGCCCCAACCCCAUUCCCAGCCCCAACCACGUCCCGGCCCCCGUCCGCGAGCAACACCGCUGCGCUGGGAAGUGAGGCGGAAAGGGCGCUGGGGAUAACCAGAACAUUUGAAACGCGGGUUCCUGCCGGAGCAGCCCUCCCAAAUCCAUCUGAGGCUACAAGGGAGCCCUGGUGUCAGGAUUCGAAUCUAGCGGGGUCCCUGGCCGCUGUGUGACCUUGGGCCAGUCACCUAACCUCUCUGGGCUGGAGCUUCCCCAUAACAAUACCAACACUUCAGCAGCCAGGUCAGCAGGUGGCACAAUGCGUGCCAUGCGCCCAGCCCAAGUGCCUGGCACACAGCUAAUGUGAGCCGGGCAGAGAGGGCCAGGGAGAUCGCCCCAGAGCGGCUCCCGCAGGACAGGGUGCUCGGCGUCUCUAGGUCAGAGUUAAGAGGGUUCGGGGAACGGGGGUGUUGACUCACUGGACCCCAAAGGGCAGCAGCAGAACCGCCAGACUCUCGCAUAAGCCUUCGAGCGCGAACUUGCUGGCGCAAUAAACGUCAUUGAAAGGCAGCCCUUAGGUGGGGAGACGAGGUUCCUGAGGCGCAGCGGCCAGGGGGUCAUCCCCGGGCAGACGGUGCCCCUCCAAGCUGACGGCACCCCCCUCCACCCCCCUCCGCGGAACCUGCCUUCAAGGCUCAGCUCCGCACACAAAGAAUCUGGAGCUGCGGAGGCCACUCCCUACCACUCACCCAUCAAUCCUCCCACGCUCCCGGUCACCAACACGCGUCCCGAACCGCGCCGCUUCAUGUCUGGCAGGAAGGCCUGCAGCACCCGCACAGUCCCUACUACAUUCACGUCCAGCACAGAGGCCACGGCGUCCUCCCCCAGCGCCUCCAGCGGCCCCAGCAGGCCCAGGCCUGCGUUACACACUGCGGAGACAAGAGGCCCGACCAGCCCGCCUCAGCAUCACCCGCAGCACGGCCUGUCCCCUCGUGCUCCCUGGGCCUGGGGACAUGUUGGUUUCAACGCAGGGCGGAGAAGGCUCCUAGGAGCCCAUAUGCUUCCAGGAGGCUCACCCAGCACGUCCACGCGGCCUUCAGUCACGCGUUCCCGGGCAGCGGCCACGGAUUUUGAGUCCCUUACGUCCAGCUGCAACGUCUCCAGGGAUCCCGGAGGGCAUGCCAGGGCCCGGGCCGCCUCCCACAGCCGGCCCUGUGUUUUCAGGUCCCUCAACGUGGCAUACACUGGAGGUUUUGGGAGAGGAGGAAGAUCUGACUUCCCUUCUGGCCUCCAAGGGCUCCUCCCUUCUCUCCCUCCCUGUCCCUGCCCUAUCUAUACCUUUGAAGCUCUGGGAUGGAUCUGAAGCCAGACGUACGGCCAAGUGCAGGCCGAUGCCCGAGGAACAGCCGGUGAUGAGCACCACGGUGCGGGCCAUGGUGAGACUGUGGGGAGAGGCUGGGGCUCUGGGCUGGAUAUCACCUGCUUCGCCCCGCCCCGCCUGCAGGCCCCCACCCCUUGUUGUGUCUCCCACACAAUCUCAAGGAUAAGCCCUCCUGCGGGUCCCUGGCCCGCUCUCCCCACCCUGUUCUGAGCCAAAACAGACAUGAGCCCACUGCUUGGAACAACAAACUGUCCCGGUUGCUGGUCAGAGGGAGGGGAGGCUUUACAAGCAGGUGUGGGUUCCCACGUGGGCACAGAGUGGCCCCCUGGGCAGAUUCCCCUGGGUAUGCCUCUGUGCCACAGGAGCGAUUAUAGUGACCGCAGUUUGCUGCAGAGGCUGUGAAAGUAAAGGCGUUGGGAAGUGGGAGAUGAUUGUAUAUGUGUUGGUUUCGUCCAGGGUUCCUAGCUCAUAACUCACAUGACCAUGGUUACAGUCUUUCGUUGUCAUGUUGGGGCGCCUCAGGCCUCAAAAAGCAGCCUUUCCUCUCUCUGA
rnacentral:antisense_RNA from 1 species